rnacentral:rRNA from 1 species
AGAGUUUGAUCCUGGCUCAGGACUAACGCUGGCGGCGUGCCUAACACAUGCAAGUCGAACGAAGGUAGCAAUACCUUAGUGGCAGACGGGUGAGUAACACGUAGUCAACCUUCCUUUUAGUGGGGGAUAACUAGCCGAAAGGUUAGCUAAUACCGCAUACGAUCUUCGAGCGGCAUCGCUUGGAGAUGAAAGGAGCAAUC